UGGAAGUAAAAGUCGUAACAAGGUCUCCGUUGGUGAACCAGCGGAGGGAUCAUUACCGAGUUUUCAACUCCCAAACCCCUGUGAACAUACCAUUUUGUUGCCUCGGCGGUGCCUGUUCCGACAGCCCGCCAGAGGACCCCAAACCCAAAUUUCCUUGAGUGAGUCUUCUGAGUAACCGAUUAAAUUAAUCAAAACUUUCAACAACGGAUCUCUUGGUUCUGGCAUCGAUGAAGAACGCAGCGAAAUGCGAUAAGUAAUGUGAAUUGCAGAAUUCAGUGAAUCAUCGAAUCUUUGAACGCACAUUGCGCCCGCCAGUAUUCUGGCGGGCAUGCCUGUUCGAGCGUCAUUUCAACCCUCAAGCCCCCGGGCUUGGUGUUGGGGAUCGGCGAGCCUCUGCGCCCGCCGUCCCCUAAAUUUAGUGGCGGUCACGUUGUAACUUCCUCUGCGUAGUAGCACACUUAGCACUGGGAAACAGCGCGGCCACGCCGUAAAACCCCCAACUUUAGAAUGUUGACCUCG
rnacentral:sRNA from 1 species